rnacentral:tRNA from 1 species
UCCCUGGCCGUUCAGUGGUAAGGACUCUGUACUUUAACUUCUGAGGGCCCAGGUUUGAUACCUGGUCAAGGAA